rnacentral:rRNA from 1 species
CCUACGGGUGGCUGCAGUGGGGGAUAUUGCACAAUGGGGGAAACCCUGAUGCAGCGACGCCGCGUGUGGGAAGACGGUCUUCUGGAUUGUAAACCACUGUCCACAGGGACGAAAAUGACGGUACCUGGGGAGGAAGCUCCGGCUAACUACGGGCCAGCAGACGCGGUAAUACGUAGGGAGCAAGCGUUGUCCUGAAUUACUGGGUGUAAAGGGAGCGUAGGCGGGGAUGAAAGUUGGUGGUAAAAACUAUCGGUUCAACCGAUAGUAGCACGCAAAACUGCAGGUCUUGAGUGAAGUAGAGGCAGGCGGAAUUCCUAGUGUAGCAGUGAAAUGCGUAGAUAUUAGGAGGAACAUCAGUGGCGAAGGCGGGCUGCUGGGCUUUUACUGACGCUGAGGCUCGAAAGUGUGGGGAGCAAACAGGAUUAGAUACCCUUGUAGUC